GCCAAAAACGUCGUAGUAGGAGUAGCGGUGGCAGUUCCGUAAAUAAGUGAGCAUUUUAUGUGCCAUGUGCAUGGCGCAUGACACAUUCAACGACGUUGGCCGUGGGUGCCCGUCUUUGUUGGUAGCGCACAGGUAAGUUAAGACGGUGCACUUGAAAACACUGUCGUUGAAAUUUUGAAUUUCGAAGACGUUGUUCUUAAGCCAUCGUCGUUAACGUUGAUGUAUAUGAUGUUGUAAUUGGCGCUAAUUCAUGAACACUCGCGCUCGAAAAUUUCUGUGUGUCUGAAAUUUCUGAAAUCUCCGUGUGUCUGAAAUUUCUGUGUACUGUGACCUCGCCGUGACCUGUGGCGUUUGCCCGCACCCUCGUGACCUCGUCCGGCGUCUCAUGUGGUGGCACCGCCGAAGCCAGUGGGUACCCCUUUUUGGAGUUGUCGUAACACGGCUGUGUUUUGAAGUGCUUCUUCCCUCAGAAUUUGAUUGCCGGUAUUAGAACCCCACUAUUCAUCAGGUCCAAACAAGCUUAAAUCAUGGAUUCAGGAAUCAAAUGUUGAAUGCUAUUAAAGGCUUCUCAAGAUCACCUCAAAAUGGAUUGUUCAUAAAUUCAUGUUUUGCUCACUGCCAAUCUGAGAGGCAGGAUACAUGGUUUGCUGACAAUUCUCCUGUCAUUGGGAACAAGGAUACACUGGUCACGUGAUGACAUUUGAGGUUGGUGCGGUGCUUGAGGAUGCAAAUUGGCAGGCUCCAGUGUAUUAUUUUGAUGAGAAUGACAAGGAAAAGAAUAUCCCCAUUUUGGGAUCUGCUGUUCGUGGUGGUUCUCUUGGGAGUUUGAUGAGAGAGAUACCCACUGGGGAAACUAUGUACAAAUGAAGCAGUCAAGCCAAACCAAAAUGAAGCAGCAACAAGUCCAAAUGAUAGCAUCAAUCUAUUUCACAGGCUUUUGUUUCCUGUGUAACUUAAUUAGGAAUGAGUUAUUUCGCCAGCAGUUAGGUGGAGAUUUUGAGGAGGAAAAUGGAGGGAUUGUCAAAGGGCAUAUUAUUACAGAGAAUGGAGGAAGAGUAUAAUUCACUGUUGUCCACUGCUAGUAGUUCUCUUGCUAGUUCUGGUUCAAAUUCCAAAAGACUUGAAUAUCAACAUUCAUCUUCGGUAUGAGUACCUCAUCAGAUUUGUAUCAGCAUACCUGGAAGCGCCACAAGCCAUCAACUUGGAACAAAGAAAGUUAUAGUGCAUUUAGUCAAAUUAUAGACUUGUUAAGGGCCUCAUCGUUUUGGAAAGAAAAAGAAUGGAUCAUCAAGGGCAUAGCCAGAACCCAUCUAUGGUAGUGGAGCUCAAUUAGCAUAUGGUUCUAACACCAGCUUUAGCAACAGCUCCAACAAUUUUGGUCAAACCAAUACCAAGAAAUUGAGAAGGUUACUGAUUUCAAGAACCACAGUCUUCCCCUGGCAACUAAUAUAUUAUGUUUAUUGUUAAUAAAUUUAACAAUUACCUGUUAAAUCUAAUUAUAUGUAUUGUUAAUUGUUAAUAUGAUUAAGUUACAAUAUUUUAACAACUGUUAAAUGGCUAUUUGUAUUCAUAA